rnacentral:rRNA from 1 species
CCUACGGGAGGCAGCAGUGGGGAAUAUUGCACAAUGGGGGAAACCCUGAUGCAGCGACGCCGCGUGAGUGAAGAAGUAAUUCGGUAUGUAAAGCUCUAUCAGCAGGGAAGAAAAUGACGGUACCUGAGUAAGAAGCCCCGGCUAACUACGUCCCAGCAGCCGCGGUAAUACGUAGGGGGCAAGCGUUAUCCUGAUUUACUGGGUGUAAAGGGAGCGUAGACGGGAGUGCAAGUCUGAAGUGAAAGGCGGGGGCGCAACCCCCGGACUGCACUGGAAACUGUAAGGCUGGAGUGCAGGAGAGGUAAGUGGAAUUCCUAGUGUAGCGGUGAAAUGCGUAGAUAUUAGGAGGAACACCAGUGGCGAAGGCGGCUUACUGGACAGUAACUGACGCUGAGGCUCGAAAGCGUGGGGAGCAAACAGGAUUAGAUACCCUAGUAGUC